rnacentral:rRNA from 1 species
GAUGAACGCUAGCGGCAGGCUUAAUACAUGCAAGUCGAGGGGCAACAGGGGUAGCAAUACCUGCUGGCGACCGGCAAACGGGUGUGGAACACGUACAGAACCUUCCUCUGAGUGGGGAUAGCCCGGAGAAAUCCGGAUUAAUACCCCAUAGUAUUGUUGGGUGGCAUCACCUGAUGAUUAAAGAUUUAUUGCUUAGAGAUGGCUGUGCGGCUGAUUAGGAGUUGGUGUAGGUAAAGGCUCACCAAGCCGGCGAUCAGUAACUGGUGUGAGAGCACGACCAGUCACACGGGCACUGAGACACGGGCCCGACUCCUACGGGAGGCAAGCAGUAAGGAAUAUUGGUCAAUGGAGCAAACUCUGAACCAGCCAUGCCGCGUGAA